GCUUUUAAUGACUUAACAGACCACAAUCUUAAAACUCCACUUUUUUAUUCAUCAUUUUUUUAGUCCAUUAGCCUCUGAGGCUCAUAUGUUCUUCCUAUGUUUUCAGUUGAGCGUUUUCGGCCACCGGCCUCCUCAGGAAUCCAUUGGCAGCCAAUCUGACUUCUUCUUUCUGCCACUGUUGUUUUACUUUGAACUCACAAACUCUGCACAUCCUUUCCUAAAUAUCGGAUCAAUUCUUUAUGAUGCAAUAAAUGCUGAAUGUUUUCUUCUAUAGAACAAAGAUUCUAAGGUUCAAUUGGUCCUAGAAUGUCGAAAUAAAAGUUAUAGAACAGCUUUUUUGUUUUUCUGAUUGGUUAAAAUAGUUUCAUUUUGCCAAUAAAGCUAAUUUACAGUGAAGCUUGAUCCUUUUUGAGUGACAGUGCAUCUGUCUUUGCAUUAUUCCUCUGCAGUACUACCUAAUGUGGGGAUUCCAAGGAUGCAACGAUUCACUUUCCUAUUCGGUCAAACCUUGGUUUUUGAGAUUUGCUUAUUCCAAAACAACAACAAAAAAUGUAAAAUUCAGAAAAAAUCUUCUUUUAACUUGCUAAAAAGCAAGUGACAAUGACAAAAAAAAACAUCUUACCGUUGGCUCAUACCAAGCCUGGUGUUAUGUAGUAAAACAAUAAAUUUGUCUUAAAUUUAGUAAACAUGCUGGUAAGCAGUAGGGAUGCAACUCGUCACUUUCCCCAUGAUUCAGUUCAAUGGUGCAACAUUGUUAUCAAACCAGAAUUGUGGCAUGCCUAUGGAAUUAUACAUAAAAAUACACCUAUGGAUAGAGACUGACUGAUGUGGAUUUGAACCAUUUCACAGUCUCUCCACGGUGGAAAACGUUUCAUCAAAGCAACCUCCAAUGCAGGACAUGAUGACAUCAGAAAACACUUCCCUUAAACUGGAAAAAAGGAAAACUAGCAACAAAUCUGACAGCCAAGCGGGUCCAUCAGCAGAAGAGAAACAGAAAUUACUGAUGGAGGACCGACAAAACAGAACCCAACGGAGGCACAGGACGGCUGAACGAAUGGACAGGGUGAGGAACUACUUUGCUCAAAGGGAUGCUGAUGACACUGAUAGACAUGAAACACCUUUAGAAACAAAGCAGGCAUCUCAAGAAGGAAACUCAGUCUCUGAGGGCUCAGAGUUUGUCUUUGAAGCUUCUGAAAAACUGUGUGAACCUGUUCUUAGCGGAGAACAAGGCUUUGCAGCUAACAAGGAGGUUGAGUUGUCCAAACUCCCAUCAGCAGGAGGGGACGGGGUUGAAGACACACCAAAGAGCCAUGUGGAUCCAUUCAAUGAUCCUGCUCAUCUUACAGAGAAGCAAAUCCUCAAGGAGUCUGUCACUGAAAGAAGCUGUCAGGAUCAAGACAACACAAAAACUGAGAGCAGAGAAAGCUUCACGUUCACAACCGUGGUGGCUCCUCUGUAUCAGCAGGUGUUUGGCAGGUUAGAUGCUGACAUUCCGAGUGCAGCUGGUGUGGAAAAACAAACCAAAGCAAGAAUGGAUCCCUCUGAGAGGAGACAGACUGAAUGCAAACAAACCGUAGAUGCUAGAAAAUUGGAUUGGGAAGAUGCAGUGCAGAGUCCAGCUCAGUCAGAACAGAGAUGGACAAAGACCCGUCAGAGUCCACAGCCCCAUUCAGCAGACUUGGUAGAUGGUCUUGACGGAGUAAACGGUUCUUUAGACACAGACUUGUUGAGUUCCCAGACAAAGAUAAGGGAUAAAGAUAGUGACGGUCUCCAGGGAGAGGCGCAGGAAGAUGAUCUUACCCAUGACCGCUUCAGAGCCAUUGAUGGAGCGCUGCCAGCAGAGCGAGCUUGUUUGCACGUUGCAGUUAAAGCUGCUGACAGAAAUGCAAAGAUUGAAACACGAGCUGAUCCGAAAUCACUUCAAAGGGAGUCGGGACGCUCUGGUGACGAUGCAGACCAACAGAGCAGCUGUGACUUGGUUGAGGUGACGCAGAACGAUGACUCAGCAGAAAUAAAGAAAAAUAAAAACAAAUCUUCAACAGAGGAAGACCUGGUAGAAGAAGAAAAUGACUCCAAUUCUGAAAACUCUGAUUUAGUCGUCAUUAAAAUCAGUUCAAACAGUCUCGUUUCAAAGCCAGAAACCGAUUUUAAAAAUGUCAACACAAUAGAAACUGAGACGUUCAGUCCACUUGAAGAUGAAACCAAACACUCUGCAGUAAUAAACAUCCUUUAUGAAGUAGCAGAGUCCAUGGAAAAUAAAAAAUCCAUAAACAUGGAUGCAUUUGAAGAAACUCUGGAAGAAAAUGAACACAAUGGGAUGACAGACUCCUCAAAACAAGAUAGAAAUUUUGAUUUAGCAGAAAUUAAUUGGGUGAAAAACUGGGAAAUGAUGGUUCAGGAGGAGGAAAAUAACACAUUAACGAAUGACAAAGACAAUGAGCUAACAGGUUUAAAUGCAGAGGAAUGUAGAGGAAUGCAGACAGAUAAAAUUGAUAAAGUACAGGAAAAACGGAUGGCUGCAGAAAUGAAAGUACAGAAGGAGAAUAAUGCAGCUGCUUGGGAACGCCAAGAAGUCAAAAUACAGGGGGCAACAGGGGUCGAAAAAUGCAAUGACUCAGAGAGAGUUCAGGGUGUAAUAAAAGAACAUUUUGUCGGGGGAAAAAGUGCGGAAGAAAAAGAUUUUAAGGCAAUGAAAUGGGUCACUGUUGAUGAGACGGCUAGCCAAGGUGUGGAGGAAACAAAGGAAGCAAAAACAGAACAAAACUGCGAGUUUGAGGGAGUUUUGGAGUGGGAGGGUAAGGAAAAGUUGAAACACAUUAACAAUGACAAGCAGAAUUCAAAUUUUACACCAAAGAGUUUGGCUGAAAGUUGUGGAGAAAAAGAGAAGGUGCAGGCAGACAUGUGUGCGGAGAACAGAAAUUUUCAGGGCCCAGGUCUUACACGAGACGAGGAGGAAGAGGUUGUAUCUGUUCCAGGUAGUAAUAAGGAUGACAGAGAAGAUAAGAGGACAGAACAUGAUUGCACUCAAGCUGACUACAUUCUAAACAAUAAGGAUGAUUCUCGGUGUGUUAAAGAAGUCAUAGGGAGGCAUUUGAGUGAAGAAAUGCCCACUUUAUCAUAUGAACGCAACAGUGACCUAACAAGUCAGAACAGCAGCUCAGCAGAGUCCGACUCAGACGACGAGGUGGAGUUGUACAUGUUUCGUCUGAGGGCUGUGGGAACAACAGCACAGGCAGGUAAAGACAAAGUCAAAGAAGCAGGAUUCCCGGCUAGCAAAAGAGCCUCUGUAAGCAGGGCCAGACCCCCAUCCCCAGUCUUACCCCCCAUCUGCGAAUCUGCGGAUGAAGAGCACCACAACGGUGACACUCAGGAGAAUUCGUAUGCAGCGGGUCCAUCACAGGACCACUGCCAAAAUGUUUUGUGGUGCAUAUCCUGGAGCAAUGUUUCAAAAUCACUGUUAUACGUCACUUUGCUGGUGGUGUUCCUGGCUGUGGCAAACCAAUAUGAUUUCCUGGCCUGUUUUGGACUCUAUUUGAUAUCUGUGGUUUGGCUGUGGUGUCAAGGAGAGAAACAAGCAGUUCAAAACAACAAGAAAGCAGCUCAAGACCAACAAAACUGCCACAUGUUAGCUGAAGCAAAUUUUUAAGACAUACUGGUUAGCAUCAUGGCUUUGAGGACUAACUCCGGUCUUCUUUUGAGCUAUUAUAAAAACCAUUACCAGUGUUCUUUUUAAUUACGAUUGUGCAGAUUUUAGCAAAAACAAAAAAAAAAGUGUAAUUUUCUUGGACAUAGUUUCCACAGAGCGUCAGGAGAAAUUCACCUCUGAGUUAUGGGCGGGACUGUUGGCAACCCCAGCCCCCCUUUCGCCUCCCCAUUGCUUAGAGUAGGGGUUCUCAAAGUUUUUGUUGCGGAGGCCCAAAUCAGGAACUCGACAUUAGACUGGGGGCCAAUUUCGGUGAAAAAAAAUUGAUAAACAGAAAAAGUUGUUUUUAGUAACCCAUGUGCUAUCCUAGGCACUUUACCAUUGGGAGUUGGGUCAUCUAGACCCACUAGACAGUGCGCUGAACCUGUUUUCUUCAAUGAUUUGUGAUCUUCACUGGUGUCCAUGGAUUACAUGAAAUCUUUCCACCUUUAUCCACCUUUGUCAUGGUAGGAAUAACACGUCAAUGUAAGGGUGGGGUCAUCUAAGAUAGCACAAGGGAUAACUGUAAUGACCAAGUGUCAUUUGUACAGUUAACCAGGCCCUCCAGAUGUUUUCCCAGUUGCGGUCAGAGGUUGCUGCCCAGAUCUUUAACUUGUCUAGUAAUUGUAUCAUUUCACAGACUUUCUUUUGGAACAAACUGGACAAACAAUGUCAGCUACUUUCAGCAUACAUUCUUUUUUCCAAAGCUGCAACGUAUCUAGCUUCUGUCACAGCUUCACUGGAUUUAGUCAUUUUUGUAAACAGGUGUGCAGCAUAGUGUCGUUAUAGUUGUUGGAGCUUAUUGUUGCGCUCCUUGCUGGCAAAUUUGUCAUAGCUUUUAUGAUUUGUAACAUAGUGACAAUGUUUAUUGAAUUAUUUGAGCAUUGCAUUUACCUGCUUGCAAAUAAGGCACAUGACUUUAUCCAGCCCAUGAGGUACGACAAAGUAAGCAUUUGUCCACUUUUCUCCUCGCCAUCACAACAUUUUUCCUCAAAGGAACCUGCUCUGGCUCUCUCUCAUUGAGGGCCACAAAAAAUCUUCCCGCGGGCUGCCAUUGGCCCCUGGGCCACACUUUGAGAACCCCUGGUUUAGAGCUACCUGUUCACACACUCCUGCUAGCUUACAGCCCCUCACACCCCCAACCCAACAUUUGCAGUGCAAUAGACACCAGCUCAGACGUAGCAGAGAACUUUUGGCCCGCUCAGGGUAUUUUCCACGUAACACAUGAGCUCUUUUUUGAACAGAAUUUUUUUAUCUGUUCCUGAUUUACAACAAUUUGAAUAAACCAUUUCUCAGAAAUGUUAUUUUAAGAUAAAUUUUUAAUCUUAUUUCUUCCAUCAUGAGGAAAUGCCACAAGAACAUGUUAAAAACACCAAAAACACACAAUUUGAAUUGGGGUGGGCCUUUAAAGUUUUAGUUACUUUACUAUCUCCUAUGUUGGGUUGAAUCUAAGUCACAGAUGUUUGACCUUUGUUGCCCCAUGACUGCAGGGAUAUGUGUUUACACCAGAAAGAACAUGAAGAAGGAAAAGAGAAAAAUAUAAUUAUAACCGGAAUCUUACGACGACGAGGAAAACAAGACUUGUUUAUGUCAUGACUGUUCAGAGAUCGUGCACUGUAUGCAAAUAAAAAUGGGCAUUACAUAUUGUUUGUGACACAUUAUGAAAUAAACACUAUAUAUUCUCAAUAUGAAGCGUCCGUCAUUUGUUGUCAGAGGGUCUCUGCGUUUGUGUUCUCUUGAGCCUCAAACCUCACCAACAUCCAGAGAAAAAGAUGCAUUCUGUGUAAGAUGUGAAAAAAUUGCUGUCUAACAAAACACUUAAAAAAACUUGCUCUAAUAAUUGCAUUAUCUUUGAAUAAAAUCAACCAAAAUUCAAUUGCAGACAUAUUAUGAGUAAUGUAAUAUAAUAUAAGGUAGAUACAGGUAUAAAUAAACAUAACUAAAUAAGAAAAAUGACCAAGUAAAACUGCAGCAGUAGUUCCGCUGUUACCGUUUCUGUGGAUUUGUUUUGUGUUCUUGAGUAGUCCGGAGUCAGGAGUUCAUUAGAGUGACAGCUCGGGGGAAGAAGCUGUCCUUGUGGCGAGUGGUUUUGGUGCGCAUUGUUCUAAAGCGCCGCCCUGGCGGGAGGAGGCUGAAAAGGCAGUGUCCGGGAUGAGAGGUGUCUUUUACGAUCCUGCCAGCCCGCUUCCUGACUAUGCGGGACAGGUCCUGAAUAGAGGGAAGGCUGAAAGCAAUAAUCCUCUCAGCAGAUCUGAUGAUUCUCUGUAGUCUGUUCCUGUCGUGUCUGGUAGCUGAUCCAAACCAGACCGUGAUAGAUGUGGUCAGGAGAGAUUGGAUUAUUGCAGUGUAGAAGAUGAGCAGCACCUCCUGAGGCAGGUUUAACUUCUUGAGUUGUUGCAGGAAGUACAACCUCUGCUGAGCCUUUUUCCAGAGCAAGUCAAUGUGAGAGGUCCACUUAAGGUUCCAUGAGAUGGUGGACCCUAGGAACCUGUGUGAGUCUGUUGAGGGAACAGUGGUGUUGGGAAUUGUGGGUGGGGGGGGUUGUGGUAGGGGGUUCCUCCUGAAGUCCACUGUCAUCUCCACCGUUUUAAGUGGGUUCAGCUCCAGGUGGUUCUGGCUGCACCAGAGGACUAGCCGCUCCACUUCUCCUCUGUAUGCAGUCUCAUCACUAUCCCGGAUGAGCCCAAUGACUGUGGUGUCGUCUGCAAACAUCAAGAGUUUCACAGAGGGGGCGCCUGAUGUGCAGUCGUUUAUGUAGAGGGAGAAAAGCAGAGGGGAGAGAACACACCCUGGGGGGCGCCAGCGUUAAGGAUCCGGGUGAUGGAUGUAGAGCACCCAGAUCCUUAACAUUGGCGCCCAUAGUUAGGAUGUGGAAUUUUCAGAGAGAGUCAACAAUCUUGCUUGUAAUGUUUCUAAAGCUACAGUAGGAAAACAAAAGUUUUAUUUUUUCAAUUAAUACCCUUCAGUUUGGACAGGCGUGCAGAAAAACCAGGGUUCGAUUCACACGGGGUGCAAUGAGCUCAAUCCAGCGCGGGAUUGAGCUCAUUUUUUUUUAAAUACUGCUUUUGGUUUCUCUGUAGAGCCUUAAGAAGCUUGUAUUGAUGAUUUCUUAUCUGUCAAUAAUUAUACUAAUAUUGAAUCCAAAUUCAGGGGCAAGUGGGGGGUCA
rnacentral:lncRNA from 1 species